rnacentral:rRNA from 1 species
UACAGAGGUCUCAAGCGUUGUUCGGAUUCAUUGGGCGUAAAGGGUGCGUAGGUGGCCAGGUAAGUCGGAUGUGAAAUCCCGGGGCUCAACCCCGGAACUGCAUUCGAUACUGGCGUGCUUGAGGACUGGAGAGGAGACUGGAAUUCAUGGUGUAGCAGUGAAAUGCGUAGAGAUCAUGAGGAAGACCAGUGGCGAAGGCGGGUCCCUGGACAGUUCCUGACACUGAGACACGAAGGCCAGGGGAGCAAACGGG